rnacentral:tRNA from 1 species
GAACAUGUAGCUCAAUGGUAGAGUACCGUUACACACAUUACGUUUAUGAGGGUUCGAUUCCCCCCAUGUUCG